rnacentral:tRNA from 1 species
GGAAAUGUGGCUUAGUGGUAGAGUAUUUGCCUCGCAUGCAUGAUCCCUGGGUUCAAUUCCUCAGUACCA